rnacentral:tRNA from 1 species
CGCGGGGUGGAGCAGAUCGGUAGCUCGUCAGGCUCAUAACCUGAAGGUCGUAGGUUCAAAUCCUACCCCCGCAACCA